UGGCAAAUGUGAGAUGCAGUGUAUGGAAUGUCAAAUUUCUAGUAUGAGAAAUUAACGAUUUAAGUCCUUCUUAAAUGAGACCAUUUACCCAAAGAGGGUGCCAGGCCCGUAUAACGUUAAUGAUUACUAGAUGGCAUUUCCAAAGAGUCGUGUUGCUUGAUAGUGCAGCACUAAGUGGGUGGUAAACUCCAUCUAAAACUAAAUAUAACCAUGAGACCGAUAGUAAACAAGUACCGUGAGGGAAAGUUGAAAAGAACUCUGAAUAGAGAGUUAAAUAGUACGUGAAACUGCUUAGAGGUUAAGCCCGAUGAACCUGAAUAUCCGUUAUGGAAAAUUCAUCUUUAUGAUUUUAAUAUUUAUAAUAUUAUAAUAAUGGUGUGCAUUUUUUCUAUAAAGGACAUUGUAAUCUAUUAACAUAAAUAUAUUUAUCAUAAGAUCAUUUGCUUAAGUUUAUUCAAAUUAUUUUGCUUGCAUUUUAAUAUCGAAUAAAUGCUUUUGAUUUGAUAAAGUGUUGAUAGAUUUAUUAUAUAUAGUGCUUAAAUAUUUAUAUUUUAUAAUAGCAUAUUGAUCAUUGAUCUUUAUGUUUAUUAUAUGCACUUAUAUGAUUAACAAUGCGAAAGAUUCAGGAUACCUUCGGGACCCGUCUUGAAACACGGACCAAGGAGUCUAACAUAUUUGCAAGUUAUUGGGAAUAAAAACCUAAUAGCGUAAUUAACAUAACUUUAUUUAAUGGGAUUAGUUUUUAGCCUAUUUAUAGUCUAUUAAUUCAAUCCCGGGGCGUUCUAUACAGUUAUGUAUAAUAGUAUUUAUAUUAUUUAUACCUCUAACUAGAGCGUACCUUGAGCAUAUAUGCUGUGACCCGAAAGAUGGUGAACUAUACUUGAUCAGGUUGAAGUCAGGGGAAACCCU
rnacentral:rRNA from 1 species